UACGUAGGGGGCAAGCGUUGUCCGGAUUUAUUGGGCGUAAAGCGCGUGUAGGCGGCUAGAUAGGUCCGUUGUGAAAACUCGAGGCUCAACCUCGAGACGCCGGUGGAAACCAUCUAGCUAGAGUCCGGAAGAGGAGAGUGGAAUUCCUGGUGUAGCGGUGAAAUGCGCAGAUAUCAGGAAGAACACCCGUGGCGAAGGCGGCUCUCUGGUACGUGACUGACGCUGAGACGCGAAAGCGUGGGGAGCGAACAGG
rnacentral:rRNA from 1 species